rnacentral:pre_miRNA from 1 species
GAAAUAGAAAGGGGAUGAGUGUUUCGAGGAGGUGUUGGAGUGGGUGGUGUGGUAAGAUUUCAUAUUUAUUUUCCAUAAAAAUUGAGAUCUUGCCGAUACCGCCCAUUCCUAUGGCUUCUGAUCAUUUCUCUCUUUCCUUUUUC